GAGGUAACAGUAAACAGCUCAGUGCGAGCUGGCAUCACCAUGGUAACCAACCGACCCUCCUAACGGCCACAUUUUAAACAGCGUCGUCAUGGUUACCGUCACCUUACUUUGGCGAGAGGCUGGGUUGCUGUAAUCUCACAGAGGGCUGCUGUGAUGUUCUGGCCUCAGUCCUGCAUUCUCCUCACUCAGAGCUGAGAGAUCUGGAGCUCAGAGACAACGAGCUGCAGGAUUCAGGAGUGAGAGCGCUCUCUGCUGGACUGGAGGACCCACACUGUAAACUGCAUAGAAUGGGGCUGUCAGGCUGUAGAGUCACACAGAGAGGCUGUGAUUCUCUGGCUUCAGCUCUGUGUUCAAACCCCUCACACCUGAGAGAGCUGGACCUGAGAUACAAUCACCCAGGAGAUUCAGGAGUGAGAGCGCUGUCUGCUGCUAAACUGGACACACUCACACUGCUUGUGGACCAUGGAGGAGAGAACAGGACCAAACCAGGACUCAGGAAAUACGACUGUCAGCUCACACUGGAUCCAAACACAGCCCACAGAGAGCUGUCUCUGUCUGAGGGGAACAGGAGGGUGACACACACACCGAGGAGAGAGAAGCAGCCAUAUCCUGAUCAUCCAGAGAGAUUUGUGUCUCUGCCCCAGGUUGUGUGCAGAGAGAGUGUGUGCGAGCACUGUUACUGGGAGGCUGAGUUCAGUGUGUCUGAGGGGGGAGGGGUUUCUAUAGCAGUGACAUAUAAAGGAAUCAGCAGGAAAGGAGGGGAUUUUGACUGUGUGUUUGGAUACAAUAAAAACUCAUGGAGUCUGGUGUGUGAUAAACUCAGAGACUCUGAUAAACUCAGUUACUCUGAUAAACUCAGUUACUCUGUCUGGCACAAUUGUAACCGAACACGCAUACCUGCCCCCCCCCUCCCCCUACCGCAGAGCAGGAGUGUGUGAUGAUGAUGAUGAUCUUAGAGGUGUGUGUGUGUACAGGGUAGGAGUGUGUGUGGACCGUCCGGCCGGCACUCUGUCCUUCUACAGCAUCUCUGACUCUGACACACUGACCCUCCUGCACAGAUUCCACACACACUUCACUCAACACACACCCCUCUGUGCUGGAUUUUAUGUGUGUGACUCCUCAGUGUCCCUCUGCUAACUGGAGUAGCGACACACACACACACACACACACUCACACAUACACACACACACACACACAAACAUGCACGUGCACACACACACGCAUACACACACACAUGUGCGCAUACACACUCACAUGCAUGCACACUCGCACAAACACACACACUCACGUACACACACACACACACCACAUUCACAUACCCACUCACACACACACCACACACACUCAUAUACACAUACACACAAACUCACACACACACCCCCAAUCACACACAUGCACACACACACCUACACACGGACACACACAAUCUCUCGCACACACAAACACACACAUUCACCAGUGCACUCGCACACACACACACAUGCAUGCAUACGUACACACGCUCAUAACCAUAUGCACACACACUCU